UAAGAGGUGCAUUAAACACCAAACAGGUAC
rnacentral:piRNA from 1 species